rnacentral:rRNA from 1 species
AGUGAACGCUGGCGGCAGGCCUAAUACAUGCAAGUCGAACGGCAGCACAGCAGAGCUUGCUCUGUGGGUGGCGAGUGGCGGACGGGUGAGGAAUACAUGGGAAUCUGCCCAGUCGUGGGGGAUAACGUAUGGAAACGUACGCUAAUACCGCAUGCGCCCUACGGGGGGAAGCCGGGGACCGCAAGGCCUGGCGCGAUUGGAUGAGCCCAUGUUCGAUUAGCUAGUUGGCGGGGUAAAGGCCCACCAAGGCGACGAUCGAUAGCUGGUCUGAGAGGAUGAUCAGCCACACUGGAACUGAGACACGGUCCAGACUCCUACGGGAGGCAGCAGUAGGGGAAUAUUGGACAAUGGGGGCAACCCUGAUCCAGCCAUGCCGCGUGAGUGAAGAAGGCCCUCGGGUUGUAAAGCUCUUUUGUCCGGAAGAAAAGCAAUCGGUUAAUACCCGGUUGUUCUGACGGUACCGGAAGAAUAAGCACCGGCUAACUUCGUGCC